UUGAGAUGCUUCAUAUACUGGACACACCCACAAGUAUAAAUUACAAGGCAGACACUGAGAAUUUGGCACACAAGAAGAGAAAGAAAGCAGAAUGUGACAAAUACAAUUCAGUAUGCAACGUACUGGCAACGAUACAAGUUAAACCGCGCUUUGUUUAAUUUUUCUUUGCUAUGUUGUAGUUAUUAAUUCAAAUUCCAGAUGAUGUCUUCCGUGGGAAAGGCGAAAUAUGGAAUGAAGUAUUAAAUAUAUACAUAAUAAAAAAUACCUCUAGCUCGACUUUUUUAAUUAGAAAAACAACAAAAAUUAAAAAAAAUCUUCUAAUCGCCCAAUGAAUUCUGUAUCCAAAUUUUGAAAAAUAUAGCUCAAUCUGUAAAUAAAGUA